AUUGAACGCUGGCGGCAGGCCUAACACAUGCAAGUCGAACGAGUGGCGGACGGGUGAGUAAUGUCUGGGAAACUACCUUAUGGAGGGGGAUAACUACUGGAAACUGUAGCUAAUACCGCAUACCAUCGGAUGUGCCCAGAUGGGAUUAGCUUGUUGGUGGGGUAAAGGCUCACCAAGGCGACGAUCCCUAGCUGGUCUGAGAGGAUGACCAGCCACACUGGAACUGAGACACGGGCCAGACUCAUACGGGAGGCAGCAGUGGGGAAUAUUGCACAAUGGGAGCAAGCCUGAGGCAGCCAGGCCGCGUGAAUGAAGAAGGCCUUCGGGUUGUAAAGUACUUUCAGCGGGGAGGCGUUACCCGCAGAAGAAGCACCGGCUAACUCCGUGCCAGCAGCCGCGGUAAUAC
rnacentral:rRNA from 1 species